GUCUACGGCCAUACCACCCUGAACGCGCCCGAUCUCGUCUGAUCUCGGAAGCUAAGCAGGGUCGGGCCUGGUUAGUACUUGGAUGGGAGAAAGAAUAGUCAGUGUAUAAG
rnacentral:rRNA from 1 species